rnacentral:lncRNA from 1 species
GUGUCUUAGGCGGUUCCAGCCGUUAGUCACAGGGCGGCCGGACUACAAUCCCAGCAUACAACGGGAGUGGAGGUGGUGACCUUGAGAGAGGGCCUGUGCUGUGCGCGCCUCGCGGGGCAUGCUGGGAGCAGUAGCAUCUUAGCUGCUUCCGGCCGCUGGUCGCAGGGCUGCGGGACUACAAUCUUCGCAUGAAAUGGAAGAGAGGGUGGUGCGGAUAGCUUGAGGAAGGAACACUACAAGGCCUGUUAGAGAAGAAAGGGUAGAAUCCCGAGAAUGUUUUCCCCACAGUGCUGAUAAGGAGAGACCACUAUCCCAUCUACUGCUACAGCUCUGGAGACAGAGCUCUCCCACCUGUCAUAUAGAACACAAGGACCAAUCUGCAGAGAAAGAGCAUCCAAACCUGAUCCAGUGGACACUGGGGAAAAACUCACCACAGCUGAGUGUGGAAAAACAAGGCCAACACACACAUCUCUGCACAGAUACAUCUCCCAUAAAGAAACUAAAGUGUUAAUUUACAGGGCACUGUUGCAGACCCACUUCAGCUGGAAGCUAGGAACAUGGACAAGGAGCCUCUCUACCACCAAGGGAGAGAGAGGAAUGUGCUCUUGUCCUGGCAUUGCAUCCACAGGAGGGGCAGGAAAUUCUUUGAAGGUUUUCAGAUCUCAUGACUACUUUAUUUUGGAGUUGCCAGACUCAGCAAAUAAAAAUACACGACACACAGUUAAGUUUAAUAUUCAGAAAGAAAACUGUUGUGGCAAGUCAGGGACCCCAAACGGAGGGACCGGCUGAAGCCAUGGCAGAAGAACAAGGAUUGUGAAGAUUUCAUGGACAUUUAUUAGUUCCCCAAAUUAAUACUUUUAUAAUUUCUUAUGUCUGUCUUUACUGCAAUCUCUAAACAUAAGUUGUGAAGAUUUCAUGGACACUUAUCACUUCCCCAGUCAAUAUCCUUGUGAUUUCCUAUGCCUGUCUUUACUUUAAUCUCUUAAUCCUGUCAGCUGAGAAGGAUGUAUAUUGCCUCAGGACCCUGUAAUAAUUGCAUUAACUGCACAAAUUAUACAGCGUGUGUGUUUAAACAAUAUGAAAUCUGGGCACUUUGAAAAAAGAACAAGAUAACAGCAGUGUUUAGGAAACAAGAUAGAUAGCCUUAAACUCUGACUGCUGGUGAGCCGGGCAGAACAGAGCCAUAUUUCUCUUCUUUCAAAAGCAAAUGGGAGAAAUAUCGCUGAAUUCUUUCUCAUGAUGGAACAUCCCUGAGAAAGAGAAUGUGUGCCUGCGGGUAGGUCUCUGAACUGGCCCCCCUGGGCAUAGCCUGUCUCUUAUGGUCGAGGCUGCCGAGAUGAAAUAGACUCCAGUCUCCCACAGCGCUCCCAGGCUUAUUAGGAAGAGGAAAUUCCCGCCUAAUAAAUUUUGGUCAGACCAGUUGAUCUCAAAACCCUGUCUCCUGAUAAGAUGUUAUCAAUGACAAUGGUGCCCAAAACUUCAUUAGCAAUUUUAAUUUCGCAUCGGUCCUGUGGUCCUGUGAUUGCGCCCUGCCUCCACUUGCCUUGUGAUAUUCUAUUAUCCUGUUAAGUACUUGAUGUCUGUCACCCACACCUAGUCGCACACUCCCUCCUCUUUUGAAAAUCUCUAGUAAAAACUUGCUGGUUUUUGUGGUUUGUGGGCCAUCACAGAUCCUACCAACGUGUGAUGUCUCCCCCGGACGCCCAGCUUUAAAAUUUCUCUUUUGUACUCUGUCCCUUUAUUUCUCAAGCUGGCCGACACUUAGGAAAAAUAGAAAAAAACCUACGUGAUUAUCGGGGCAGGUUCCCCAAUAGAAAACAAAUAACUUUUUAGUAUAACUAUAAAAUAAACAUUUGCGUGUAAUAUUUCUAUUCCCACCUAUUAUAUAUUACAUACAUACACACACACACACACACACACACAUCCUUUUGCUUACCUGAAUUUCAUAUUUAAUGUUCUUGGACUUUUUUUGUUGACCUCAAUCCAUAAGAACUGUAGUUCUCCCCAGUACAGUUUCAGCACCAAUGACCAAGUCUCAUCAGAGGAGGCCACAUGAUGAUCUAGCAGAUAGACUCUUUAUUCAGUAUGUGAGAGUCAUUUACAGACUGGGGACAUAAAUUAGAAAUGAUGAGCUGGAUGUCUUUU